UGAUCUCAUGUCAGAAUGAGGAGGGUUUAGGCCAUAGUCCGUCACGCCGACCCAGUGCGGAUUAAUAAACUUCACACAAUUUUGAGAUCUUUAUGGCGAACUCUCAGGGAUGUAGGUUUCCUCACGAUGACGUUUUCCUUUCAC